UACGGGGGGGGUAAGCGUUGUUCGGAAUUACUGGGCGUAAAGGGCUCGUAGGCGGCCAACUAAGUUGGACGUGAAAUCCCUCAGCUUAACUGGGGAACUGCGUCCGAUACUGGAUGGCUUGGAUUUGGGAGAGGGAUGCGGAAUUCCAGGUGUAGCGGUGAAAUGCGUAGAUAUCUGGAGGAACACCGGUGGCGAAGGCGGCAUCCUGGACCAACAUUGACGCUGAGGAGCGAAAGCUAGGGGAGCAAACGGG
rnacentral:rRNA from 1 species